UCAGGUGACUAUAGCAUCAGGGUUCCACCUCUUCCCAUUCCGAACAGAGAAGUUAAGCCUGAUCACGCCGAUGGUACUGCGUAACAGUGGGAGAGUAGGUAGUCGCC
rnacentral:rRNA from 1 species